AUGGCUGUCGUCAGCUCGUGUCGUGAGAUGUUGGGUUAAGUCCCGUAACGAGCGCAACCCUUGUCCUUAUUUGCCAUCAUUAAGUUGGGCACUCUAGGGAGACUGCCGGUGACAAACCGGAGGAAGGUGGGGACGACGUCAAGUCAUCAUGGCCCUUACGACCAGGGCUACACACGUGCUACAAUGGAGCGUACAAAGGGUUGCGACCUCGCGAGAGUGAGCUAAUCCCAUAAAACGUUUCGUAGUCCGGAUCGGAGUCUGCAACUCGACUGCGUGAAGUCGGAAUCGCUAGUAAUCGUGAAUCAGAAUGUCACGGUGAAUACGUUCCCGGGCCUUGUACACACCGCCCGUCACACCAUGGGAGUGGGUUGCAAAAGAAGUGGGUAGCAUAACCUUCGGGAGUGCGCUCACCACUUUGUGAUUCAUGACUGGGGUGAAGUCGUAACAAGGUAGCCGUAGGGGAACCUGCGGCUGGAUCACCUCCUUAAAGAGAUACAGUAACUGUCUCAGUAAGUGCCUACCUCUAUUACUUAAUCAUCUUUUUUAGAACGAAUAAUUUAGUAAGAGCUUUACUGCGAAUCAGAAUCAGAUAUUGAUUUUGAUUUUUUGUGUUCUUACACUUUUUAAGUUAUUGGGUCUGUAGCUCAGUUGGUUAGAGCGCACCCCUGAUAAGGGUGAGGUCGGUGAUUCGAAUUCACCCAGACCCACCAAUAAUUUGAGGGCCUUCACAAGAGGUUUUCAGAGUACUUUAGUUGACUGAUUGGUUAACUAAAUCGUUCUUUAACAAUUUAGUGAAUGAAUAACAUAUGUUUGUCUGUUGUGUGGGGUAGAGGCGAUUGUGAUGACCGCCGCUGCUCGUCCUAGCACAGCAGAAAAAAUGUAUGCUGUAUCUUAAAACAAGUUAUACAAGCGCAAGUAUCUGUACGAAUGAAGUCGUUAUUAGUUGCAGUAAGUUUCUGUAUGAGCAUGGUCCUGGUAUACAAAACGGGACACUGAUUCAAAUCUCCUUAAAGAUUUUUUGAGGAAGUAGAAUUCAUGAUUAUGUGGUCAAGCAAUUAAGCGUACGUGGUGGAUGCCUUGGCAAUUAGAGGCGAUGAAGGACGUUGUAGACUACGAAAAGCUUCGGGGAGCAGUCAAACAUGCUUUGAUCCGGAGGUGUCCGAAUGGGGAAACCCGG
rnacentral:sRNA from 1 species